rnacentral:rRNA from 1 species
CAGUAGCCGCGGUAAUACGAAGGGGGCUAGCGUUGCUCGGAAUUACUGGGCGUAAAGGGCGCGUAGGCGGCGCUCCAAGUUAGGCGUGAAAUUCCCGGGCUCAACCUGGGGACUGCGCUUAAGACUGGAGUGCUUGAGGAUGGAAGAGGGUUGUGGAAUUCCCAGUGUAGAGGUGAAAUUCGUAGAUAUUGGGAAGAACACCGGUGGCGAAGGCGGCAACCUGGUCCAUUACUGACGCUGAGGCGCGACAGCGUGGGGAGCAAACAGGAUUAGAGACCCCAGUAGUCCCUGUCUCUUAUAC